UCAUUCAGUGGUAGUCCUAUCUUGGCAGA
rnacentral:piRNA from 1 species